AUUGAACGCUGGCGGCAUGCCUUACACAUGCAAGUCGAACGGCAGCACGGGUGCUUGCACCUGGUGGCGAGUGGCGAACGGGUGAGUAAUACAUCGGAACAUGUCCUGUAGUGGGGGAUAGCCCGGCGAAAGCCGGAUUAAUACCGCAUACGAUCUACGGCUGAAAGCGGGGGACCUUCGGGCCUCGCGCUAUAGGGUUGGCCGAUGGCUGAUUAGCUAGUUGGUGGGGUAAAGGCCUACCAAGGCGACGAUCAGUAGCUGGUCUGAGAGGACGACCAGCCACACUGGGACUGAGACACGGCCCAGACUCCUACGGGAGGCAGCAGUGGGGAAUUUUGGACAAUGGGCGAAAGCCUGAUCCAGCAAUGCCGCGUGUGUGAAGAAGGCCUUCGGGUUGUAAAGCACUUUUGUCCGGAAAGAAAUCCUUGGCCCUAAUACGGUCGGGGGAUGACGGUACCGGAAGAAUAAGCACCGGCUAACUACGUG
rnacentral:rRNA from 1 species